rnacentral:rRNA from 1 species
GACGAACGCUGGCGGCGUGCUUAACACAUGCAAGUCGAGCGGUAAGGCCCUUCGGGGUACACGAGCGGCGAACGGGUGAGUAACACGUGGGUGACCUGCCCUUAGCUCUGGGAUAAGCCUGGGAAACUGGGUCUAAUACCGGAUAUGACCUCAUGACGCAUGUUGUGGGGUGGAAAGCCUUGUGCGGCUAGGGAUGGGCCCGCGGCCUAUCAGCUUGUUGGUGGGGUGAUGGCCACCAAGGCGACGACGGGUAGCCGGCCUGAGGGGGCGACCGGCCACACUGGGACUGAGACACGGCCCAGACUCCUACGGGAGGCAGCAGUGGGGAAUCUUGCGCAAUGGGCGAAAGCCUGACGCAGCGACGCCGCGUGAGGGAUGACGGCCU